rnacentral:tRNA from 2 species
GCGCAGUUGGUUUAGUGGUAUAAUUACCGCCUGCCACGCGGUAGACCCGGGUUCGAUUCCCGGACUGCGCA